rnacentral:rRNA from 1 species
GAUGAACGCUGGCGGCGUGCCUAAUACAUGCAAGUCGAGCGAACGGACGAGAAGCUUGCUUCUCUGAUGUUAGCGGCGGACGGGUGAGUAACACGUGGAUAACCUACCUAUAAGACUGGGAUAACUUCGGGAAACCGGAGCUACUACCGGAUAAUAUUUUGAACCGCAUGGUUCAAAAGUAAAAGACGGUCUUGCUGUCACUUAUAGAUGGAUCCGCGCUGCAUUAGCUAGUUGGUAAGGUAACGGCUUACCAAGGCAACGAUGCAUAGCCGACCUGAGAGGGUGAUCGGCCACACUGGAACUGAGACACGGUCCAGACUCCUACGGGAGGCAGCAGUAGGGAAUCUUCCGCAAUGGGCGAAAGCCUGACGGAGCAACGCCGCGUGAGUGAUGAAGGUCUUCGGAUCGUAAAACUCUGUUAUUAGGGAAGAACAUAUGUGUAAGUAACUGUGCACAUCUUGACGGUACCUAAUCAGAAAGCCACGGCUAACUACGUG